rnacentral:rRNA from 1 species
CCUUUUGUAUAAUGGGUCAGCGACUUAUAUUCUGUAGCAAGGUUAACCGAAUAGGGGAGCCGAAGGGAAACCGAGUCUUAACUGGGCGUUAAGUUGCAGGGUAUAGACCCGAAACCCGGUGAUCUAGCCAUGGGCAGGUUGAAGGUUGGGUAACACUAACUGGAGGACCGAACCGACUAAUGUUGAAAAAUUAGCGGAUGACUUGUGGCUGGGGGUGAAAGGCCAAUCAAACCGGGAGAUAGCUGGUUCUCCCCGAAAGCUAUUUAGGUAGCGCCUCGUGAACUCAUCUCCGGGGGUAGAGCACUGUUUCGGCAAGGGGGUCAUCCCGACUUACCAACCCGAUGCAAACUGCGAAUACCGGAGAAUGUUAUCACGGGAGACACACGGCGGGUGCUAACGUCCGUCGUGAAGAGGGAAACAACCCAGACCGCCAGCUAAGGUCCCAAAGUCAUGGUUAAGUGGGAAACGAUGUGGGAAGGCCCAGACAGCCAGGAUGUUGGCUUAGAAGCAGCCAUCAUUUAAAGAAAGCGUAAUAGCUCACUGGUCGAGUCGGCCUGCGCGGAAGAUGUAACGGGGCUAAACCAUGCACCGAAGCUGCGGCAGCGACACUAUGUGUUGUUGGGUAGGGGAGCGUUCUGUAAGCCUGUGAAGGUGUGCUGUGAGGCAUGCUGGAGGUAUCAGAAGUGCGAAUGCUGACAUAAGUAACGAUAAAGCGGGUGAAAAGCCCGCUCGCCGGAAGACCAAGGGUUCCUGUCCAACGUUAAUCGGGGCAGGGUGAGUCGACCCCUAAGGCGAGGCCGAAAGGCGUAGUCGAUGGGAAACAGGUUAAUAUUCCUGUACUUGGUGUUACUGCGAAGGGGGGACGGAGAAGGCUAUGUUGGCCGGGCGACGGUUGUCCCGGUUUAAGCGUGUAGGCUGGUUUUCCAGGCAAAUCCGGAAAAUCAAGGCUGAGGCGUGAUGACGAGGCACUACGGUGCUGAAGCAACAAAUGCCCUGCUUCCAGGAAAAGCCUCUAAGCAUCAGGUAACAUCAAAUCGUACCCCAAACCGACACAGGUGGUCAGGUAGAGAAUACCAAGGCGCUUGAGAGAACUCGGGUGAAGGAACUAGGCAAAAUGGUGCCGUAACUUCGGGAGAAGG